UCGGAUAUGGUGUAAUGGUUAACAUCGGUGACUCUCAUUCAUCGGGCUCAUCAGCUCAUGAGGACUCACCAGCUCGGGGUUCGAUUCCCCGUAUCCGAG